rnacentral:rRNA from 1 species
UCGGGAAUCUUCGGCAAUGGACGGAAGUCUGACCGAGCAACGCCGCGUGAGUGAAGAAGGUUUUCGGAUCGUAAAGCUCUGUUGUUAGAGAAGAACGUUGGUAGGAGUGGAAAAUCUACCAAGUGACGGUAACUAACCAGAAAGGGACGGCUAACUACGUGCCAGCAGCCGCGGUAAUACGUAGGUCGCGAGCGUUGUCCGGAUUUAUUGAGCGUAAAGCGAGCGCAGGCGGUUCUUUAAGUCUGAAGUUAAAGGCAGUGGCUUAACCAUUGUACGCUUUGGAAACUGGCGGACUUGAGUGCAGAAGGGGAGAGUGGAAUUCCAUGUGUAGCGGUGAAAUGCGUAGAUAUAUGGAGGAACACCGGUGGCGAAAGCGGCUCUCUGGUCUGUAACUGACGCUGAGGCUCGAAAGCGUGGGGAGCAAACAGG